UAGAUAUUAAGUGAUACCAAAGAUGAAGCCAAUCUUGCAAUUUUAAGUCUUUCUGGCACAUGUGGUUAUGUAAUAGCACAUUAUUUGUGUUAAAAGCAUCAGUUGUAGUCAAACUUUGAACAGAAUGUUUAAUUGGGUGAUAUUAACACCAUUACUAUCAGCUGUAAUAUGGUCUUUCUCAUGUAAAAAAGGGUAAAGGAGAAGACUUGAAACUUCUAAAUCGGUUGAAACUAGGGGUUUGCCAACAAUAAGAAACAGAGACAAUCGCAGAGGGAAGGACAUUAGAAAAGGAAAAAGAAGAAAAACUAGAACAGGGGUCAAAGGUGCUCAUGACAGUAGGGAAAGAAGGGAGGGCGCAUCCGUCAAAAGCUAAGUUUUGGGAAGGGUAGCAAGGAAGGAAGCAACCUUCAUUUGGAAGAGCCAAAAAGGAGGCAACAGUAGCUCAAUGUGGAGGGCAGAACAAAUGGGAGGCAAUGGAAAGGUUAUCAGAAAGGAGCAACCAUUCGGUUGGAGGGAAGGGCGGUUAGGGUACCACCAACUACGGAAAGGAAAUGCAGAGAAGGAUAGAAGCAGCAACUACAAGGUCUCAGGUAAAGAAAGGAAGAAGCUCCUUUUACUUAAACAUUAUACAAACUCUGACAACUUUCUUUUCUACUUUGAAAUGGAAAAAUCCAUUUCUAAAAAAGAUAGAGUGAAUGAUGAAAAUAGGGAAUUAGGAACCGCUAAGGAAAGGGGGUUGGAUAAAUAGACAACAAGGUCUCAGGUAAAGAAAGGAAGAAGCUCCUUUACUUAAACAUUAUACAAACUCUGACAACUUUCUUUUCUACUUUUGAAAUGGAA
rnacentral:lncRNA from 1 species